GGUUUUAUAGUUUAAUAAAAACUUCAAAUUGCAAAUUUGGUAAUGAUAAAUGUCUAAGACUU
rnacentral:tRNA from 2 species